AGCAUACUCUUUCUUCAUUUGAGGAUGAGGACUUCUAUGACCAAGAUGAACGACGUAACACUCAGCCAGCCCCUCAACUUCCAGAACGUGCACCAGAGCCCAAGCAAAAACGCACACGUGAGCUGUGCGCACCUGCUUUAAACAGAAGGCAGAAAACAAUGAGCC